rnacentral:rRNA from 1 species
GACGAACGCUGGCGGCGUGCUUAACACAUGCAAGUCGAACGGUGAUCUUGAGAGCUUGCUCUUGGGUGAUCAGUGGCGAACGGGUGAGUAACACGUGAGUAACCUGCCCCUGACUCUGGAAUAACUUCGGGAAACCGAAGCUAAUACCGGAUAUGACACAGAGCCGCAUGGUUUCUGUGUGGAAAGUUUUUCGGUUGGGGAGUGGACUCGCGGCCUAUCAGCUUGUUGGUGAGGUAAUGGCUCACCAAGGCGACGACGGGUAGCCGGCCUGAGAGGGCGACCGGCCACACUGGGACUGAGACACGGCCCAGACUCCUACGGGAGGCAGCAGUGGGGAAUAUUGCACAAUGGGCGAAAGCCUGAUGCAGCGACGCCGCGUGAGGGAUGAAGGCCUCGGUUGUAACCGUACUUUCUAGUAGGUAAGGAAGACGCGAAGUAGGACGGUACCGUACCAGAAGAAAGCACCGGCGUAACCUAACGUCGCCACGCACGCCGCGGUAAACCGGUAAGUACGU